AUCCUUCUCCCUAGUGCUUGCUUUGAUGAGAGGUUGCUGAUUUGACUCGGGAGGAAUAUUAAAAUAAUGAAGCUAUCAAAAAUAAUUAGAAUAGACAUUUAUUAAUACAAAAGAAUAAUGAAGCUUUUUUAUAUUAAAAUAUCUGCUUAUGAACACACACAGAAAUUUAAUUGGAGGAAUAUUAUUGCAAAAAUACAUGAUUUGAAAGGUAAAAUAUAUAAAUAUUUUUUUUUCCAAGACGGAUGAGUACGAAUACAUCCAAUAAAAUUAAAAACAAAAUAUUCCAAAAUGCCAGAGGCAGAUUCCCAUCUCAACCCAUAUGGUACUAUCCGUAUGGCUGGCCACAUACGGAUAAUAUGUGCAUUGUAAUUUUUGUUCCUUUGCAUGUGAGAUGAGUAUCCUGCAACAAGACAUAUUACUACCAUCAGUUCACAUGAUUAAGAAAGACAUCUGACCGCAAUGUGCAUUUGUCUGUCUUGGAACAUAGCCAUAGCAUAUAAGAGUUGAAGCAACUGUCGACGGUACUUCUCAUUUGGGAAAUGUGGAGAAGCAAUCAUUUGGCCGGACAUUGGAAUCUUCUAAAAAUGUAUAUUUCAGAUAAACUUACCAAGCUUAUGCAGCAAUCGCAUCCAGAAAUCUCAACAUCAUGAGAUCAUGGAGCUUUGCUGAUGCCGUAGUAACUGCUUGAGUGCCAUAGCAGACACCAUAAUGACGACAAUAGUUGUUUAAGAGGACUACAGCAGCCACUUCUCACCUAAUUCUAUAUUCAAAUGUUUAGCAGGAAGGGAUAUGCACUAGAUAACUGACAUGACAUCAUUUGAAACGUUAAUGAUAACAGAAAAGGUUUGUAGUACAUUGGAAUUAGGUGUCUCCAUCAAUAUGGAGAAAAUUCCGCUCAUGUCGGCCAACAAUUUCAAAAUAGAACAUCUGCAAUCAGUAAAUGAAUCAGGCUAUGAAUCAGCAAAUGAAUCAGGCUAAGUAGCAAAUGGAACCUGUUCAAUUUCUUACAAGAAUAAAAAUGAAUUUAAUUUCUAGUAAAUAUCAAGCCAACUAAACCCUGGGAGUCAGCUGGGACUAUGCAGUACAUGUAUCGGCAGCAGAAACCUCCAGGGUUUCCAUCUUUUUGCGUGAUGCUGCUGGACCUGACUGUUAACAUGGUGAGCCAUCCGUUCAUCUCCAUGCGCUUUUUUUUCCUUUUUGAGUACCUGAAGGCAUUAUUCUCAUUCUAUCUGGCUGGAACAUAGCCGCCCUGUCUUUAACACGACAGUUUCUUCAGAAGAUUGGGGCCAGAGAGGUGACAAGGCCACCACCCUGCCAAUAAUUAUUAGAGUUGGGGACACCAAGUCUGCUAAUUUAACCUCAUAGACAAUGUCCUUAAGUUCUGCAAAUACCUGCAUCAAAGGAAGUUAUCACUCGAAUUUGAAAAACAAGGGUUGAGAAGAAAAGUUAAAGCUCAAGGAGAUCAUUUGCUGGUUGGUUAUCUGCUAAACUUCAGUCGGAUUACUUGAUGAUUUUACAUUUAGUUUUCUUGCAUGCUUUGGUAGAAAUUUUAAGAAAUAGCAGUUCAUUACUGACCAUUCGUUGCUGUGGGGUAGUUCCUCGCUCCACUGCAACAGCUGGAGUGUCCGGCGGCAAGCCAUGAUUCAUCAAUUUUGAAGCAAGAGCUUGGAGGGUUGACAAACCCAUAUAGACAACCAAAGUUGAAUCAGGAUCAGCAGCAUUCUCUUCCACAUAAAGAGGAUCCAUUCCUCCAUUUCUUGAGUGUCCGGUUAAAAAUCUAACGCUGCAGCAAAGAGCAAAGAACAGAGGGUUAAGUAUUUUGAAUACUCAAAACUGGCAUAAAUACCCUUAAAAGCAUGCUUUUUUGUUAUAAAAAAAAACAUUAAUGGGAAAAAAGGCUCUUGCAUGUUAAGUAGUCUAGCAAUAGAGUACUUCCUAUUCGCAUUAUUGAGUAGAGUUAUCAAGUAUCAAUAAUACUUCCAGCACUAUAGAACAAUUCAUUUAGGCUCUUUAUUUGCACUAUUGGCACUCUCACACAUAAAAUAUUAUAGUUCCAAAGUAUGUGUAUUGUGAUGAGCAUGUCAUGGAAAGCCUGGAAUUAGAAUUCCUGCAGACUCAGGUAAUCAGAGUUUUUAAAAUUAUUGGAUUGCCAUAAACAGAAAAUAUGAAUCUUAAAAGGCAUUAAAUCUCAUUAGUUAAAUCUUCAAUCAUCUCAACUAUUUUGGAUAAUAGUAGUUCUAAGUCUAGCUCUAAGCAACAAACAGUCACUCUAUCUUAAGUCUGUGUAAUUUUAUUAAACAUACAACAAUGCAACUUCUUACUUUAAUUUUGACAUUCCAGUAUAUUUCCAAUAGUUUGGAUCACAAUGAUCAUGGGAUAUGUUGGAGGAAUUGGAAAUAACGGAUCAAAUGUAUCUAUAUGGAUAUUAGGGCCCACAAAGCGCUAUGAUAAGAUUACAGAUGGAAAUUUGACAAGAAGCGAUACUAGGACAGCAUCAAAAUACAUUAAGCAGAGAAUCCAUGCAACAAAGAUAUUUAUUAAAGCUACAAUCGCUCAAAAGGUCCCUAUAGAUCUAAAACUCAAUCAUAAGCUAUGAAUUGAAUGAAGCCUAUUGCUAAAGCAUUAGUCAAGACCAGCAGCAGGAUGAGAAAUCCAGUGAUAAAUGGUGAAUCAACAGACUGAAGAACAAUUGAACCAAUAAAACUACUUCCACCCAAGAAAUGGUAGUGAACCACUGUAAGUUCCACCCAAGAAGCAGGUGUCAGUAAACAGUGCAUACUUGCCUCAAAAACUAAAAGAGCCAGAGAACAAUACUGUUCUCAGAACAAAAAGCUUUUAAUGUUACUAAAGCAAAUUUUACAAUGACUAAGGGAAAGCAAGGCAAGACGAAUCAUGUUACCUAUUUGCAACACCUCGGUGGGUCAGUGGGAUUCCAAGCUCAGCUGCUAUCCCAGAAGCAGAAGUGAUCCCUGUUUUAUAUGAUGGUGGUCAAUAGAUAUAAGGAUGACUAAUCAUGGAAAACACUUUCAGGUUAACAAGUUGUAUACCUGGAAUGACCUUGACUUGAAUUCCCUGUUUCUGGAGAAAAUCCAUCUCCUCUCCACCUCUGCCAAAGACCUAAAGAGCCAAUAAAAUAUUAUCAAGCAGCAACAGUGAUGAUUCUUUCCUUUUCUUUUCUUUUUUUGGCUAAGCAAUCAUCACAAUCAUCUUUAACCAAAAAAAAGAAAAAGAACCUAUGAAGCACAAACUCAUCUGUAGGAGAGAACCUAAGUAUUAUUUUUCAAGCCUUUAGCAAAUAAUAUCUAUAGGAUGCAGCAUCUCCUUUUGGCCAGACAUGUGAACCUUAAAUUGCAGCUUCACACUGGACUCAGACCCAAUAAACACCUCUGAUCCAAUCUUAGCCAAAAUCUCAUUGAAUUUUUUUGACUGAAACUUUUGUCAGCUAGCUCAAAUAGACAGCAACCUGGCUUUGUGCCAAGCUGCGAAGUUUAAAUAACUUCCUCAUGGAACCAUCUAAUUUAUCUUCUAUCAACUGAGUGAUGUUACUAUAUAAGUAACUUUCAAAUUCAUUAGAAAACAAAUGUAUGGUGAUUGACCAAUGAGUUUGCCUGGCUACAAGCUAAAUCCAGCCUACAUGCUUUUUCUUUGUGUAUCACUUGAUGUAUGUCUUCAUAAUCGUAUGUAGAUUAGCCAACAUUAGAAAACACUGACAGUAAAUAGCUGAAUCUUGCAUGCCUUAUAAUUCAUUUUUCAUAUUCUGCUAACUUCAUGCUUGAAUAUUUUCCUUAUGCUUUUGGUUUAAAGUUCUUAACAUAGGGGAUUCAUCGCAUACAAGUAUGAAAUUUCUAAAACAGAAACAUUUUCUUAAUAUUUAAAUGACAACAUUUUAUAACACAGAGACAUGGAAAUAUCACUUGAUUAGAGAAAUGAGAAAAUGAAUAAUAAGUGUGCAACAUGUCUCACCAUACUUAAGUAAGACAUUUGAGUUUAAAAAGUAACUAGGGUCAUAAAAAGGAAAAAAAGCGAGAAUGAUAACAAGAUCAAUCUCUUCCUUUAAUCAUAACGUGUAUGCCUCUACGUUUGGUAUCACAUAAGUCGAAAGGCAUUCAUCACAGGUUUCUCUAAUUGAUAUAUCUACUGGACAAUAGUAUUGCAUGAUGCAGUUUUUUCCUUAUUUCAACAUCACAUUGAUAAGUCAAUAAAUAAAGCCAACCAAGUCUAGUCCAUUAGUUUCUGUUCUUCUAUAGGCACAUCCAAUCCUAGCAUCUUAUCGCUUGUAUUCAUUUCAAAUUCAGUAAUUAUCCCUCUGCAAAUCUUUUAAAUACAUGUUAACCAUGUGUUAGAAUCUAAUGUAUCUUGGUGAGUUGACACACGUUUGACUUCACACUGAAUUAGCGCUGUGAAUGCUUUUCGCAGGCCAAAUAUAGUAGCCCAUUCCUUCCCCAAUAAAAACACUGCAGAUGAAGCACUAAUAUACAAAGAAAACUCACCAGAGGAUCCCCUCCUUUUAGCCUCACCACAUUGGCGCCAGCCUCAGCGAAGCUCAGAAGCAACUCAUGAAUCUCUUCCUAAAUAUAAUAAAUCAGGAAAGAAAAAAAAACACAAAUUUGAGAACAAUGCACUAUGAAGCCCCGAGAAAAAUCUCAGCCAAAACGGAGGAAAAUAAAAAAUAUCGAUCUUUUGCGACCUCACCGACCUGAGUCCGGCUAUGAUAUCCGGCCGUCUUCCCGACAUAGAGCAUCUUGGCAUCUGCCCUGACGAAACAGAGCACAUCAUUGGACACCAGACGAUCAUAGAGGACGAGAUCGGCCUGCUCGAUCGCCCGCACCGCCUUCAGCGUCAGCAGCUCCGGGUCACCCGGCCCGGUCCCCACCAGCGACACACUCCCCGGCCCGCUGCGGCCGCCGCCGCCUGCCUCCGCCCUCCGGGCGGCCCUCAGCGCCUCCAGCAACCGCUUGAGCUCUGGCAAUUGCAGCGCGAUCUCGUUCUCCCUGUCGCUGAAGUUUUGGUGGGCGGAAACCGGCAGCGGGACGCCGGAUCCGUAAACCCAGCCAUCUCUUCGGUAUCUCUCGGCGGAGUCUUUCUCCGUGAAGGGAGAUGACGGAGAGGCCGCGGCGGAGCAAGAGACGGCGCGUUGUGAUUGACGGCAGGGGAAGAAAGGGGAUACCGGCGAAGGUUUGGAGGAGGGGAGAGAUGGGGAAGAGGAGGAGGAGAAGUGGGAGAGGUUUCUAGCGCGCGAGCAAGAAGACGAGGCGGCGGCUAAGGCCAUGGUGGGAGGGAGUUGAAAUGAGCUCAAAUGGAAGUGAUGGGGGAUUUUGGGGCCGCGACGGCGGCAGAGUGGGUUAGAACGUAGUGGAGUUGUUCUCCAUUUAAAAGAAGGGAAAUGCGUGGAAUAUAUAAUAGGGAAAAGAGGUAGGACGGAUUUGAAGUCAAAUGAAACUUUGUAAGCUUUGGCGAGGCGUUUUUUGGCUGCUGCGUUUUGGCGACGCCGAAGGGGCGAUGGUGGAAGGGAAUGUAGCUCUUGCCUCUUCGUGGUGAGGGAGGACCAGGUUCAGUGAACCUAAUCGUAUUUUUAUACGGUAAGAAAGUCUGUUGUAUUUUUUAAAAAAAAUAAAUUAUUCAUACACUUCUAAUACAAAUGUUUUCAGUAAAAUCAAAACACAGCAUAUUUCGAAACGCACUAGACAGCUUCAGCUCUCCAAUCCAAAGUGUAUCUUCGGAAUAGUUAGUCAGAAAACAUCAAAUCUGCAGCUUCAUUGACCUCUAUGUAGGCAUGCUUAAUCUGAAAGGCCAUCCAAAAAAGAUGUCUUUCAAGUGAUAUUUUUUGUUUCAUUUCAUUUUAAGCAAAUUAGCAUCGUUCACGUAACACACGUGGUAGUGUUUUUAAUUUUGUUUUCUUUCCCUUUGCAGAUCUAGGUAACUAAUUAAAGCUUUUAACUGAAGACAUUAUCUUAACCACGCAACAUUUUCCUCUUCCUUUCCUGAGGCCACAUGAGACAAGGAAACCAAAGUCUUUAAGCAACUUGGUCGAUCCCCUAUACAUAGAGAAUAUUGGUACUUGCGGCACCAGAUUAACCUAACGUAAACAUGAGGACUCUCUGCCGGUCUUGAGUUAACAAAUAAGGAGUGUAGUGACCAGGAUCCAAUUGUAAAUCUAUGAGGGUCCAAGUGCGAACGGCCAAAAAUAUGAUCUAGACUCACAAGGAUCCCACGAUGGAGGAUGAAGAGAUCCUUGAAUACUAUUCAUCAUACUGAUGGUUCAUGAAGGGGCUAUGAUGUUAAUUAUGGUCAUUCUGCAAGAUGGAUUUUGCAUUUCUGAUCAGUUAGAUUAAUUAUCUUCAUCCAAUGGUGAAUCAAACACAUUAAGAAAAUAGUGAAUCAAUGGGCACCAAAGUCCGACAAUUUAAUUUAUUGCAGGCUUAAUGUUGGUCCCCACUGUUAGAUCUUACAAAUAUAGCAAUAGCGCAUGAAGUUGGCGAUCGUCAAUGAGAUUUGCUCAAGAGUGUUGAUGCAACUAGCGUACCAGCUGGGGCUAAAUAUGUCUCUUUCAUCGAAUUAAACAUAUUCUUUCAGAAUACUUUCCUGGUUAUUUUAGAGAAUUCUUAAGAAAUAAAAAGGUUGCACAAAGUAAAAGGUUCAUAGAUCCAUAUAUUUUUAGGAAGGAAGAUGCAGUAGGUCCCUCGGUGAAGUUAACUCUGGAAGAUGAUGAGGGUCGGAUGGGGCAGAGGAGGCUCCGUGAGGCGGAUGCUGAGCUUCAGAGAAAUGUCCAUUGUUUUAAAACGCUUCAGAAACCGACAUAGCUUAUAAAAAGGUGUUACACAAGCCUCAAGGCGCAUCACAUUUUUGUGAUCCAUAAGCUGAUAGUUUUACAUGGGAACAAAUUUUAGUGGUGUGAUAGUUUAUAUUUGUUGCCCAAGGCCUUGAGUUUCGAGUUUGAGUCAUGCAUAGGUAGAGCCUGAUUCUAGACCCGCUUAAUUUGUAAGCAUCUCAAACUGUUCAAAAUAGGAUUGUGUUCAGCUUGGCUAGAUCAAGUGAGAUGCAAAGGAGAAGAAUUCAAUCCUAAUGUUCGAAACCUACUAUUUUAUCGAAAUUAACCUAGCCAAUGAUUUCUUCUGGGAUUCUGGCCAUCUUGUCAAGCAAAAGAAAUCAGUUAAAGGAUCAGCACAUUGGGUUCCAUCUUGAAUUCCCUGCUCUUAAGGCCAAUCUAUCCUAAACUUGCUGCAGACUGAAUUCGAUCUUUUAGAAGGAAAAAAUGCAGCAAGCAGCGCAUAUCAGUCUCGCUUGGACCCAUCCUAGUUCUCAACAAAUAGAAAGAAGAAAAAACAAAAACAAAACAAGUGGAAAGCAGGAAAAAGCAAACACGCGGGGAAAGGUGUUAAACCACCAAGGUGACAAAACAUAGCAUGGAGGCCUUUAGGUUAACUGAAUGCUUAAUGCAAAUAAAGCAAUGGCAUACAAUGCGACAUUCUGAAUGGCUCUUGUAAAUGUCAAACGAGGCAGGGAAGAAAUACAAAAUGUAAGUUGCAACUAAAUAUUCUGAUUCGGCUUUCUUUAUUGCAUAAAAUCCAAAGUCCUGGCCGAAUGAAACCAGCCAGUCAAGGAUGCAGGACUAAAUGUUUUAAGAUUCAUGUCUAAGUUGAAUCUGAAAACAAAGAUCUGAUAUCUUUAUUGGAUACAGGCACCAGCAUGCGGCAUGAUUAAAGUAGAAGUACACAAUCAAGUCUCAUCAAAAAGAAGUGAAUGGCCAGACCUGUGUAUAACUGUUUUGCUGGAUGAAAUAACUCUAAAAAGAAGGUGAUGCACUUUUAUCAUCCAAGCCAGCAUAAAGAAAAUGGUUGAACCAACCAAAGAAUUCUUGGAAACACCCAUACAAUAUUUUAUCUGGAGAAUAUUAACUCGCAUGCUUCAAUAAUUUAGGGGCAAUACCAAGUUUAAGCAGAAUGUUUGAAAUUUCCAAGUUGGAAGGCGUUCAAAAGAAAUCUACUAACUGUAACAGAAAUGUUACUUAUCACCAUCUUCCUCCUUCUUUUGCCCAUAGCGGCGGUUGAACUUUGCAAUCUGACCUAGGCUCUGCGCCAUCUGACGCCUUGCUCUAAAAUGAUAGACUUUGCCAACAUGAUGUAUCUUGGUCAUCAAAACAUGCAUCAAUCUCCCACUCGGAGUCACAUAGGAAAUCCACUGCAUCUGGGGGUGCNNNNNNNNNNNNNNNNNNNNNNNNNNNNNNNNNNNNNNNNNNNNNNNNNNNNNNNNNNNNNNNNNNNNNNNNNNNNNNNNNNNNNNNNNNNNNGAAAUUGAGUUUUCUCAUGACAGAAAGAUUAAUCAACAGAUACAAAUCCUUUUGACCUAACUACAGACCAUCUAACUGAUUUGCAACUCGGGCAACUUCAUUGUAUUUAAGUUGGUAGAUACAGAAAGUGAAAAUUACAGCAAACAUCAAAAUUGCCUAUAUGCAAAUGCAAUAAGGCUGAAGAAGGAAAAUUAUGAUUAAACCGUUUCUCAGAGGGGAUGUACCAUUGCUAUACAUUCUUAAAAUAGAAAAGAAACAUAGAUGAAGAUUAAAUUUUGAAGGCAUAACUAAGUGUUUUAAAAAUAUAUAAAGUAAUGCAUCAUUUUCAUAAUUAUUGUUUUAUGAGUUCACUUCACUUUGGAAACCAACUAGAGCACUAUACACCGCCAAGAUUUCUUUCCCAAUACUCGAAGUCGUCCCCAAAUGCUGGAGAGGCUUACAUUGUAUAAGCAAUAGGGGUGGUAAAAUAUGAUCCAACCCGCCAUAAACAGAUUUGGGUUUGGCUUAAACAGGUUCGGGUCGUAAACAGGUUGAUCCGUUUAACCUGUUUAUUAAUUGGGUCGGAUACAGAUUUUAAAUUUCUGACCCGUUUAAUCUGUAUAACCUGUUUAAUUGUUGGGCUAAUAUAUAAGGGCCAGCCAUNNNNNNNNNNNNNNNNNNNNNNNNNNNNNNNNNNNNNNNNNNNNNNNNNNNNNNNNNNNNNNNNNNNNNNNNNNNNNNNNNNNNNNNNNNNNNNNNNNNNNNNNNNNNNNNNNNNNNNNNNNNNNNNNNNNNNNNNNNNNNNNNNNNNNNNNNNNNNNNNNNNNNNNNNNNNNNNNNNNNNNNNNNNNNNNNNNNNNNNNNNNNNNNNNNNNNNNNNNNNNNNNNNNNNNNNNNNNNNNNNNNNNNNNNNNNNNNNNNNNNNNNNNNNNNNNNNNNNNNNNNNNNNNNNNNNNNNNNNNNNNNNNNNNNNNNNNNNNNNNNNNNNNNNNNNNNNNNNNNNNNNNNNNNNNNNNNNNNNNNNNNNNNNNNNNNNNNNNNNNNNNNNNNNNNNNNNNNNNNNNNNNNNNNNNNNNNNNNNNNNNNNNNNNNNNNNNNNNNNNNNNNNNNNNNNNNNNNNNNNNNNNNNNNNNNNNNNNNNNNNNNNNNNNNNNNNNNNNNNNNNNNNNNNNNNNNNNNNNNNNNNNNNNNNNNNNNNNNNNNNNNNNNNNNNNNNNAAUCAUUAGCUAACUGUUUGGCACAAAGCUUUUCUCGCCAUCUCGGGAUGGGCGUGCCAGAGAGCUUGUUUGAUAAAUCCUCGUGGCAAGUGGUAAAAAGAUGCAUAGGCAUGCCACCGGCGUUAGAGCAACCGAAAAGAGGAUAAUUGAACGAAGGAUAUCAAACUAGCGUUUGUCCAAGUGCUUGGACCUUCAAGGACUUUUGCCAUUGUCGUAUCGCCAUUCGAAAGAAAAUGGAGAGGGAUAGGAUGUAGCUUGAGCUACGGUAGGAAAAAUCUAAGUCAUUUUGGAAUAUCAAAGUCAUUUUGAGCAGCUUGUCAAUAGAGCUUGUAAUUGGCCAAAACGGCAACUUGUUGGAACUUUUAUUGAAGGACUUUGCUCAUACAUUCGUUGUGAGAUGAAGAUGUAUAAGCCCUACAUUAUAUCGGUAGCUAUCUCUUUUGCCCGAUUAUGAAAGGAAAGACUCAUUAAAAAAUACCUCAUGCUUAAACAAGAGAGUAAAUAACAAGAAAUUCGUAAAUUUCAAGAAGAUACACUCAACAACAAAUAUGUUAAGUGGCUUACACAAGAGGAUCUCAUGGACAGAAUAAGCCAAGGCAAAUGUUAGCAUUGUGAUGAAAAAUGGCAUAGAGGAAAUUGCUAGNNNNNNNNNNNNNNNNNNNNNNNNNNNNNNNNNNNNNNNNNNNNNNNNNNNNNNNNNNNNNNNNNNNNNNNNNNNNNNNNNNNNNNNNNNNNNNNNNNNNNNNNNNNNNNNNNNNNNNNNNNNNNNNNNNNNNNNNNNNNNNNNNNNNNNNNNNNNNNNNNNNNNNNNNNNNNNNNNNNNNNNNNNNNNNNNNNNNNNNNNNNNNNNNNNNNNNNNNNNNNNNNNNNNNNNNNNNNNNNNNNNNNNNNNNNNNNNNNNNNNNNNNNNNNNNNNNNNNNNNNNNNNNNNNNNNNNNNNNNNNNNNNNNNNNNNNNNNNNNNNNNNNNNNNNNNNNNNNNNNNNNNNNNNNNNNNNNNNNNNNNNNNNNNNNNNNNNNNNNNNNNNNNNNNNNNNNNNNNNNNNNNNNNNNNNNNNNNNNNNNNNNNNNNNNNNNNNNNNNNNNNNNNNNNNNNNNNNNNNNNNNNNNNNNNNNNNNNNNNNNNNNNNNNNNNNNNNNNNNNNNNNNNNNNNNNNNNNNNNNNNNNNNNNNNNNNNNNNNNNNNNNNNNNNNNNNNNNNNNNNNNNNNNNNNNNNNNNNNNNNNNNNNNNNNNNNGUAUUUUUUUUUAAAAAAAAAAUUAUUCAUACACUUCUAAUACAAAUGUUUUCAGUAAAAUCAAAACACAGCAUAUUUCGAAACGCACUAGACAGCUUCAGCUCUCCAAUCCAAAGUGUAUCUUCGGAAUAGUUAGUCAGAAAACAUCCAAUCUGCAGCUUCAUUGACCUCUCUGUAGAUAUGCUUAAUCUGAAAGGCCAUCCAAAAAAGAUGUCUUUCAAGUGAUAUUUUUUGUUUCAUUCCAUUUUAAGCAAAUUAGCAUCGUUCACGUAACACACGUGGUAGUGUUUUUAAUUUUGUUUUCUUUCCCUUUGCAGAUCUAGGUAACUAAUUAAAGCUUUUAACUGAAGACACUAUCUUAACCACGCAACAUUUUCCUCUUCCUUUCCUGAGGCCACAUGAGACACCAAUCAAGGAAACCAAAGUCUUUAAGCAAUUCAACUUGGUCGAUCCCCUAUACAUAGAGAAUAUUGGUACUUGCGGCACCAGAUUAACCUAACGUAAACAUGAGGACUCUCUGCCGGUCUUGAGUUAACAAAUAAGGAGUGUAGUGACCUGGAUCCAAUCGUAAAUCUAUGAGGGUCCAAGUGCGAACGGCCAAAAAUAUGAUCUAGACUCACAAGGAUCCCAUGAUGGAGGAAGAAGAGAUCCUUGAAUAUUAUUCAUCAUACUAAUGGUUCAUGAAGGGGCUAUGAUGUUAAUUAUGGUCAUUCUGCAAGAUGGAUUUGCAUUUCUGAUUAGUUGGAUUAAUUAUCUUCAUCCAAGGGUGAAUCAAACACAUUAAGAAAAUAGCGAAUCAAUGAGCAGCAAAGUCCGACAAUUUAAUUUAUUGCAGGCUUAAUGUCGGUCCCUACUGUUAGAUCUUAAAAAUAUAGCAAUAGUGCAUCAAGUUGGCAAUCGUCAAUGAGAUUUGCUCGACAGUGUUGAUGCAACUAGCGUACCAGGUGGGGCUAAAUAUGUCUCUUUCAUCGAAUUAAACAUAUUCUUUCAGAAUACUUUCCUGGUUAUUUUAGAGAAUUCUUAAGAAAUAAAAAGGUUGCACAAAGUAAAAGGUUCAUAGAUCCAUAUAUUUUUAGGAAGGAAGAUGCAGUAGGUCCCUCGGUGAAGUUAACUCUGGAAGAUGAUGAGGGUCGGAUGGGGCAGAGGAGGCUCCGUGAGGCGGAUGCUGAGCUUCAGAGAAAUGUCCAUUGUUUUAAAACGCUUCAGAAACCGACAUAGCUUAUAAAAAGGUGUUACACAAGCCUCAAGGCGCAUCACAUUUUUGUGAUCCAUAAGCUGAUAGUUUUACAUGGGAACAAAUUUUAGUGGUGUGAUAGUUUAUAUUUGUUGCCCAAGGCCUUGAGUUUCGAGUUUGAGUCAUGCAUAGGUAGAGCCUGAUUCUAGACCCGCUUAAUUUGUAAGCAUCUCAAACUGUUCAAAAUAGGAUUGUGUUCAGCUUGGCUAGAUCAAGUGAGAUGCAAAGGAGAAGAAUUCAAUCCUAAUGUUCGAAACCUACUAUUUUAUCGAAAUUAACCUAGCCAAUGAUUUCUUCUGGGAUUCUGGCCAUCUUGUCAAGCAAAAGAAAUCAGUUAAAGGAUCAGCACAUUGGGUUCCAUCUUGAAUUCCCUGCUCUUAAGGCCAAUCUAUCCUAAACUUGCUGCAGACUGAAUUCGAUCUUUUAGAAGGAAAAAAUGCAGCAAGCAGCGCAUAUCAGUCUCGCUUGGACCCAUCCUAGUUCUCAACAAAUAGAAAGAAGAAAAAACAAAAACAAAACAAGUGGAAAGCAGGAAAAAGCAAACACGCGGGGAAAGGUGUUAAACCACCAAGGUGACAAAACAUAGCAUGGAGGCCUUUAGGUUAACUGAAUGCUUAAUGCAAAUAAAGCAAUGGCAUACAAUGCGACAUUCUGAAUGGCUCUUGUAAAUGUCAAACGAGGCAGGGAAGAAAUACAAAAUGUAAGUUGCAACUAAAUAUUCUGAUUCGGCUUUCUUUAUUGCAUAAAAUCCAAAGUCCUGGCCGAAUGAAACCAGCCAGUCAAGGAUGCAGGACUAAAUGUUUUAAGAUUCAUGUCUAAGUUGAAUCUGAAAACAAAGAUCUGAUAUCUUUAUUGGAUACAGGCACCAGCAUGCGGCAUGAUUAAAGUAGAAGUACACAAUCAAGUCUCAUCAAAAAGAAGUGAAUGGCCAGACCUGUGUAUAACUGUUUUGCUGGAUGAAAUAACUCUAAAAAGAAGGUGAUGCACUUUUAUCAUCCAAGCCAGCAUAAAGAAAAUGGUUGAACCGUAUUUUUUUUUAAAAAAAAAAUUAUUCAUACACUUCUAAUACAAAUGUUUUCAGUAAAAUCAAAACACAGCAUAUUUCGAAACGCACUAGACAGCUUCAGCUCUCCAAUCCAAAGUGUAUCUUCGGAAUAGUUAGUCAGAAAACAUCCAAUCUGCAGCUUCAUUGACCUCUCUGUAGAUAUGCUUAAUCUGAAAGGCCAUCCAAAAAAGAUGUCUUUCAAGUGAUAUUUUUUGUUUCAUUCCAUUUUAAGCAAAUUAGCAUCGUUCACGUAACACACGUGGUAGUGUUUUUAAUUUUGUUUUCUUUCCCUUUGCAGAUCUAGGUAACUAAUUAAAGCUUUUAACUGAAGACACUAUCUUAACCACGCAACAUUUUCCUCUUCCUUUCCUGAGGCCACAUGAGACACCAAUCAAGGAAACCAAAGUCUUUAAGCAAUUCAACUUGGUCGAUCCCCUAUACAUAGAGAAUAUUGGUACUUGCGGCACCAGAUUAACCUAACGUAAACAUGAGGACUCUCUGCCGGUCUUGAGUUAACAAAUAAGGAGUGUAGUGACCUGGAUCCAAUCGUAAAUCUAUGAGGGUCCAAGUGCGAACGGCCAAAAAUAUGAUCUAGACUCACAAGGAUCCCAUGAUGGAGGAAGAAGAGAUCCUUGAAUAUUAUUCAUCAUACUAAUGGUUCAUGAAGGGGCUAUGAUGUUAAUUAUGGUCAUUCUGCAAGAUGGAUUUGCAUUUCUGAUUAGUUGGAUUAAUUAUCUUCAUCCAAGGGUGAAUCAAACACAUUAAGAAAAUAGCGAAUCAAUGAGCAGCAAAGUCCGACAAUUUAAUUUAUUGCAGGCUUAAUGUCGGUCCCUACUGUUAGAUCUUAAAAAUAUAGCAAUAGUGCAUCAAGUUGGCAAUCGUCAAUGAGAUUUGCUCGACAGUGUUGAUGCAACUAGCGUACCAGGUGGGGCUAAAUAUGUCUCUUUCAUCGAAUUAAACAUAUUCUUUCAGAAUACUUUCCUGGUUAUUUUAGAGAAUUCUUAAGAAAUAAAAAGGUUGCACAAAGUAAAAGGUUCAUAGAUCCAUAUAUUUUUAGGAAGGAAGAUGCAGUAGGUCCCUCGGUGAAGUUAACUCUGGAAGAUGAUGAGGGUCGGAUGGGGCAGAGGAGGCUCCGUGAGGCGGAUGCUGAGCUUCAGAGAAAUGUCCAUUGUUUUAAAACGCUUCAGAAACCGACAUAGCUUAUAAAAAGGUGUUACACAAGCCUCAAGGCGCAUCACAUUUUUGUGAUCCAUAAGCUGAUAGUUUUACAUGGGAACAAAUUUUAGUGGUGUGAUAGUUUAUAUUUGUUGCCCAAGGCCUUGAGUUUCGAGUUUGAGUCAUGCAUAGGUAGAGCCUGAUUCUAGACCCGCUUAAUUUGUAAGCAUCUCAAACUGUUCAAAAUAGGAUUGUGUUCAGCUUGGCUAGAUCAAGUGAGAUGCAAAGGAGAAGAAUUCAAUCCUAAUGUUCGAAACCUACUAUUUUAUCGAAAUUAACCUAGCCAAUGAUUUCUUCUGGGAUUCUGGCCAUCUUGUCAAGCAAAAGAAAUCAGUUAAAGGAUCAGCACAUUGGGUUCCAUCUUGAAUUCCCUGCUCUUAAGGCCAAUCUAUCCUAAACUUGCUGCAGACUGAAUUCGAUCUUUUAGAAGGAAAAAAUGCAGCAAGCAGCGCAUAUCAGUCUCGCUUGGACCCAUCCUAGUUCUCAACAAAUAGAAAGAAGAAAAAACAAAAACAAAACAAGUGGAAAGCAGGAAAAAGCAAACACGCGGGGAAAGGUGUUAAACCACCAAGGUGACAAAACAUAGCAUGGAGGCCUUUAGGUUAACUGAAUGCUUAAUGCAAAUAAAGCAAUGGCAUACAAUGCGACAUUCUGAAUGGCUCUUGUAAAUGUCAAACGAGGCAGGGAAGAAAUACAAAAUGUAAGUUGCAACUAAAUAUUCUGAUUCGGCUUUCUUUAUUGCAUAAAAUCCAAAGUCCUGGCCGAAUGAAACCAGCCAGUCAAGGAUGCAGGACUAAAUGUUUUAAGAUUCAUGUCUAAGUUGAAUCUGAAAACAAAGAUCUGAUAUCUUUAUUGGAUACAGGCACCAGCAUGCGGCAUGAUUAAAGUAGAAGUACACAAUCAAGUCUCAUCAAAAAGAAGUGAAUGGCCAGACCUGUGUAUAACUGUUUUGCUGGAUGAAAUAACUCUAAAAAGAAGGUGAUGCACUUUUAUCAUCCAAGCCAGCAUAAAGAAAAUGGUUGAACCAGCAAAAGAAUUCUUGGAAACACCCAUACAAUAUUUUAUCUGGAGAAUAUUAACUCGCAUGCUUCAAUAAUUUAGGGGCAAUAGAAGGUUCGCUGUACCGGUCGGUACCGGUCGGUACCGAGCGUACCGUACCCGUACCGAUGGGUACCGGUAUCGGUACACCAAUGUCGGUACGGUCGGUACCGAGCGUACGGUACCGUACCGACACUCGGUACGCCUAUACUAGUGCGGCACCGGUACGGGGUUCGGUACCGGUACGGCGAACCUUGGGCAAUACCAAGUUUAAGCAGAAUGUUUGAAAUUUCCAAGUUGGAAGGCGUUCAAAAGAAAUCUACUAACUGUAACAGAAAUGUUACUUAUCACCAUCUUCCUCCUUCUUUUGCCCAUAGCGGCGGUUGAACUUUGCAAUCUGACCUAGGCUCUGCGCCAUCUGACGCCUUGCUCUAAAAUGAUAGACUUUGCCAACAUGAUGUAUCUUGGUCAUCAAAACAUGCAUCAAUCUCCCACUCGGAGUCACAUAGGAAAUCCACUGCAUCUGGGGGUCCNNNNNNNNNNNNNNNNNNNNNNNNNNNNNNNNNNNNNNNNNNNNNNNNNNNNNNNNNNNNNNNNNNNNNNNNNNNNNNNNNNNNNNNNNNNNNGAAAUUGAGUUUUCUCAUGACAGAAAGAUUAAUCAACAGAUACAAAUCCUUUUGACCUAACUACAGACCAUCUAACUGAUUUGCAACUCGGGCAACUUCAUUGUAUUUAAGUUGGUAGAUACAGAAAGUGAAAAUUACAGCAAACAUCAAAAUUGCCUAUAUGCAAAUGCAAUAAGGCUGAAGAAGGAAAAUUAUGAUUAAACCGUUUCUCAGAGGGGAUGUACCAUUGCUAUACAUUCUUAAAAUAGAAAAGAAACAUAGAUGAAGAUUAAAUUUUGAAGGCAUAACUAAGUGUUUUAAAAAUAUAUAAAGUAAUGCAUCAUUUUCAUAAUUAUUGUUUUAUGAGUUCACUUCACUUUGGAAACCAACUAGAGCACUAUACACCGCCAAGAUUUCUUUCCCAAUACUCGAAGUCGUCCCCAAAUGCUGGAGAGGCUUACAUUGUAUAAGCAAUAGGGGUGGUAAAAUAUGAUCCAACCCGCCAUAAACAGAUUUGGGUUUGGCUUAAACAGGUUCGGGUCGUAAACAGGUUGAUCCGUUUAACCUGUUUAUUAAUUGGGUCGGAUACAGAUUUUAAAUUUCUGACCCGUUUAAUCUGUAUAACCUGUUUAAUUGUUGGGCUAAUAUAUAAGGGCCAGCCAUACUCCCUGCCUCGGCCCGCUUUCACCGCCUCGGCCCAACUCCCCGCUUCGGCCCGCUUUCACCGCGAGGUCCACCGUCCGGUUUCACAGUUUCACCGCGAGGUUGAUUGGACGUAAAAGGCGUCGCUUAGGGUUUGUGUCUUUGUGAGCGCCGCCCGAGCUCCAUUCCCUCAGUCCCUCUCCCCUCUCCUAGUCUUCCUCUCCUCCGGACCUCCGCCCUCUCCUCCCCCUUGCCGACUCCUUCCGCCUCCCCGUCGACGGCGACCGCAGCGGCUCGACGGGUUCCUAGGACGUUGCUUCCGCCUUCUUGGGGCUUUUCGUCGUCUCGCGACUUGCCGGCGGACGGUGACUGCUUUGUCUUCUCCACGGCGACGGCCUCCGUCUCCUGCCCUAUCCGUGCGUUCUCUCCCCUUCUCCGCUAGUAGUAUAGUCAUGCUAUCUCUGAUUUCCUUCCGCCAUCUCUUUCUGUCUCUGUUUCUUGAUCUUAGGGAUCUUGGAUCUCAAAGCGGCGGAGGACGUGAGGGCGCUCUUUCUCUUCUUCAAAGCGGCGACUACUGUGGAGUCCAGCAGCGCUGCAGCAGGUAUGCCGGUGGAGGGAAAUGGUUUGGUUUUUACUUUUUAUGGUUUGAUUCAUGGCGAAGGCUAGGGCUUCCAGAUUUUUUCCCCCACCCGAAUCGAAGCCGUCGAUGAUUUCCGGAGAGAAAAAAAUUUGGGGAUGGCGCCUAGAAUCCUAGAUCAGAGAUUUUGAGGGCUCCCGUUUCCAUUUUCUUUUAUUUUUUCCAAUAAAAAAAUUGUAAUCUGUUAAUUUCUCUCCUCCCCUUGUUCCUCUCCGUGUUUUCUUUUUACUUAAUUUCUGGUUAAAUUUAUUUUUUUAAAAAAAUUGCUUGACCGUGUUAAUAUUGGUGGAUUUAUUGUUGGCACUGUCCAUGGCUUAUAUGCUAACUAUCUAAUUUAACUAUUUAAGUCCAAUAGUUAAACGAGUCGGGUUGGGUUAAAUGGGUUAGCUGUUUGUUAAACGGGUUAAACGGGUCGGGUUACCCAUUUAAUAAACAUGUCAGGUUCAGGUUGUAAUUUUCUAACCUGUUUAAUAAACAGGUCGGGUUCAGGUUUAUGAUUUUUUGACCCGACUUGCAUCUGAUCCGACCUGUUUAUGUCCGACCCAACCCGAUUGCCACCCCUAAUAAGCAAUCAUUAGCUAAUUGUUUGGCACAAAGCUUUUCUCGCCAUCUCGGGAUGGGCGUGCCAGAGAGCUUGUUUGAUAAAUCCUCGUGGCAAGUGGUAAAAAGAUGCAUAGGCAUGCCACCGGCGUUAGAGCAACCGAAAAGAGGAUAAUUGAAGGAAGGAUAUCAAACUAGCGUUUGUCCAAGUGCUUGGACCUUCAAGGACUUUUGCCAUUGUCAUAUUGCCGUUCGAAAGAAAAUGGAGAGGGAUAGGAUGUAGCCUGAGCUACGGUAGGAAAAAUAUAAGUCAUUUUGGAAUAUCAAAGUCAUUUUGAGCGGCUUGUCAAUAGAGCUUGUAAUUGGCCAAAACGGUAACUUGUUGGAACUUUUAUUGAAGGACUUUGCUCAUACAUUCAUUGUGAGAUGAAGAUGUAUAAGCCCUACAUUAUAUUGGUAGCUAUCUCUUUUGCCCGAUUAUGAAAGGAAAGACUCAUUAAAAAUACCUCAUGCUUAAACAAGAGAGUAAAUAACAAGAAAUUCGUAAAUUUCAAGAAGAUACACUCAACAACAAAUAUGUUAAGUGGCUUACACAAGAGGAUCUCAUGGACAGAAUAAGCCAAGGCAAAUGUUAGCAUUGUGAUGAAAAAUGGCAUAGAGAAAAUUGCUAGAAAAAGAUAAUUUUUCUUAUCGAACCUGCACAUAUUGACACUUCACAAGAUGAAGAAGAUGAAGAUGAUCGCCAUGUACCACCUAGACAAAUAUAAUCUUGAGAACAAGAUCAUCUAGAAGUGAAAGGGAAUGAUAUGCUUCUUAUCUUAGGAUCCUAAUUUUAAUUUGAUUUAGCACAAGAAUUAGGAGGAGUCCAAGUUUAAUAAAGAUUGGCUACAUCAUAUUCCUAUUUUGCUUUUUCUUAUUCUUGUAGGACAAUUAACUCUGAAUCUAUAUAUACGUAGUGCUCUAGACAAGCAAUGAAUUUAAUAAAAAUAGUGUAAAGGCUAUUCGAGGUCCAAAACCUCUUGAAUUGAUCGAAUACUCUUUCUUCUACCUAUAUCUCUAUUUUUCUAUUUUCUUUUGCUCGAAAUUCUAUCAAUAGUAAGUGGGUUCCUAUCAAACAGAAUACAUACACAUAUAUAUACGACUUUUCAAAAACUAGUCUCGCAUUAUAAAAAUUUCAUCAUGACAUGAAGAUGAAAUAUCUUUUUUUCGUAUCCUAACAUCGAACUAGAAAGAGGAGACUAACUGAACAAAUUUAGUUCAAUGUCGAGAAGUUAUGUAAUUUAAAAACUAUCCUUACUGCAAGGAGAGGGGAAAACCUAUGAUUUAAACCCACCCCCCACCCCAACCUUCGGGGCGUCUCAUGGCCUGCUUUCACCUGUUCUCCGAACCUAAAGCGGUGAUUUUUCACGAAGCUUGUCGAAAGAAAUCAAACAAAUGGAUUAUCGCAUUUCAAUAGUUUAAUGGGUUAUCAUCUUCGAAUCAAAAUUUACAACAAUUCAAAAAACUAGAAUAGUAUAUUAGAGAGACAGAGAGAGAGAGACCUGCCGGUCGCCGGUCCGAGGUUACAGAGGUUGAGCUUUGAGGGUGAGUCGAGAGAGAUCUGCAGCCGCCCAACAGGAACCCUAGUCCUUAAAUCCAAGGAGGCCCUUGGCAAAGCAAAUGGGCCGAGUUAAUUUUGUCUAGGGCUAAUCCCGGCUCGAUUCCGUUUAACGUGAGCUAGGAAAGGGGAUUGUGGGACAAGAUCCCGCCCCCCAGCCCCACUGGCGUCUCUAGGUUACUAGGCUCGUCUUGGAAGUUUAUUUGGAUAAUUGGGCUGAAAAUCUUAUGAAAUUUAUGGACUAAGGCCUUGUUUGGAGGAGCUUUUGAAGGGCCAAAAAGCACUUUCUGGCCCUCCUAAAGCACUUUUGGAUAAAAAAAGAUGUUUGGUAAAAAUUUUGGAAAGCUGUUUUAGCUUUUUCAGAAAGUUAAAAACAGCUUUUUGGGGAAAGCUCCAAUUUGGAGCUUUUUGAAAAAGCUGUUUUGAGCUUUGUCGGAAAGCUUUUUUUCCACCAAAAUACCCAUAAUAAAAUAUAAUAAUUACAUACUUUGUCCCUUUAUAAACCUAAAAAUCUGCCCUAACAAAUAAUCCUAGCCGUGGAUUAGACUCUCUUCUAUGCAAGAAGUAUUUUUAUUUUCUAUUUUUGUAUGCAUCUUUUGAAUCACGUUUUAGGAAAAGAAAUUUUUUAAUUUCUUCUUUUAGAUGCAUUAAAAUCUGUUUUUAUGGCCUUUUGAGAAAAUAGAUGAAGUAAAGGAUGGUAAUUUUACAAGAGAUGCCAUUUACAACAGUUGAACACCCAGCUUUUCAAAUGUUUGUUAGGAAUCUGAGACCAGAAUUUCAUAUUGUUUCAAGAACAACAUUAGCUUCUGAUUGCUUUAAAAUAUAUGAAAAUGAAAAAAAAUGAAGACUUGAAGAUUUCUUCAAGACGAACCAUGGAAGAAUCAGUUUAACAUUGGAUAUGUGGACAUCAAAUCAGACAUUGGAAUACAUGUAUCUCACUACACAUUACAUCACUAAUGAUUGAAAAUUAAAAAAGAAUAUUAUCAAUUUUAAGUUGGUUCCUUCACCACAUACGGGCUUAGUCAUUAGUGAUGCUAUUGCUAGCUGUAUUUUAUCUUGGAAUAUUGAGAAAAGGUUGGGUUCAAUCAUUCUUGAUAAUUUGUCAGCAAAUACAGUUGUAGCAAUAUAACUUCAAAAACAAUUCAGAAAAGAUUUACUUUUGGAUGGUAAAUUCUUUCAUGUGCAUUACUGUGCACAUAUUCUUAAUUUGAUUGUGAAGGAUGGGUUGAAGGUAGUGGAGGGUGCUAUUCAUAGGAUCCGCGAAGCUGCUAAAUAUAUAAAAUCAUCUCAAGGAAGGUUGGAAUUGUUUAUGGGAAUUGUGAAACAAUUGAAGAUGAAUGGUAAGAAAAGGAUAUGCAUAGAUGUACCUACUCGUUGGAAUUCUACAUAUCUCAUGUUAAACGAUGUUAUACAAUUCAAGGAUGUAUUUAUGCGACUUGUGGCCCGGGAUUCUAAUAAACAUUUGAAAAGCUGGGUGUUCAACUGUUGUAAAUGGCAUCUCUUGUAAAAUUACCAUCCUUUACUUCAUCUAUUUUCUCAAAAGGCCAUAAAAACAGAUUUUAAUGCAUCUAAAAGCAGAAAUUAAAAUUUUUUUCCCUAAAACGUGAUUCAAAAGAUGCAUACAAACAUAGAAAAUAAAAAUACUUUUUCUUGCACAGAAGAGAGUCUAAUCCACGGCUAGGGUUCUUUGUUAGGGCAGAUUUUUAGGUUUAUAAAGGGACAAAGUAUGUAAUUAUUAUAUUUUAUUAUGGGUAUUUUGGUGAAAAAAAGCUUUCCGACAAAGCUCAAAAUAGCUUUUUCGAAAAGCUCCAAAUUGGAGCUUUUUUUAAAAAGCUGUUUUUAGCUUUCUGAAAAAGCUAAAACAGCUUUUCCAAAAUUUUUACCAAAUAUCUUUUUUUAAUCCAAAAGUGCUUUAGGAGGGCCAGAAAGUGCUUUUUGGCCCUUCAAAAGCUCCUCCAAACAAGGCCUUAGUCCAUAAAUUUCAUAAGAUUUUCAGCCCAAUUAUCCAAAUAAACUUCCAAGACGAGCCUAGUAACCUAGAGACGCCAGUGGGGCUGGGGGGCGGGAUCUUGUCCCACAAUCCCCUUUCCUAGCUCACGUUAAACGGAAUCGAGCCGGGAUUAGCCCUAGACAAAAUUAACUCGGCCCAUUUGCUUUGCCAAGGGCCUCCUUGGAUUUAAGGACUAGGGUUCCUGUUGGGCGGCUGCAGAUCUCUCUCGACUCACCCUCAAAGCUCAACCUCUGUAACCUCGGACCGGCGACCGGCAGGUCUCUCUCUCUCUGUCUCUCUAAUAUACUAUUCUAGUUUUUUGAAUUGUUGUAAAUUUUGAUUCGAAGAUGAUAACCCAUUAAACUAUUGAAAUGCGAUAAUCCAUUUGUUUGAUUUCUUUCGACAAGCUUCGUGAAAAAUCACCGCUUUAGGUUCGGAGAACAGGUGAAAGCAGGCCAUGAGACGCCCCGAAGGUUGGGGUGGGGGGUGGGUUUAAAUCAUAGGUUUUCCCCUCUCCUUGCAGUAAGGAUAGUUUUUAAAUUACAUAACUUCUCGACAUUGAACUAAAUUUGUUCAGUUAGUCUCCUCUUUCUAGUUCGAUGUUAGGAUACGAAAAAAAGAUAUUUCAUCUUCAUGUCAUGAUGAAAUUUUUAUAAUGCGAGACUAGUUUUUGAAAAGUCGUAUAUAUAUGUGUAUGUAUUCUGUUUGAUAGGAACCCACUUACUAUUGAUAGAAUUUCGAGCAAAAGAAAAUAGAAAAAUAGAGAUAUAGGUAGAAGAAAGAGUAUUCGAUCAAUUCAAGAGGUUUUGGACCUCGAAUAGCCUUUACACUAUUUUUAUUAAAUUCAUUGCUUGUCUAGAGCACUACGUAUAUAUAGAUUCAGAGUUAAUUGUCCUACAAGAAUAAGAAAAAGCAAAAUAGGAAUAUGAUGUAGCCAAUCUUUAUUAAACUUGGACUCCUCCUAAUUCUUGUGCUAAAUCAAAUUAAAAUUAGGAUCCUAAGAUAAGAAGCAUAUCAUUCCCUUUCACUUCUAGAUGAUCUUGUUCUCAAGAUUAUAUUUGUCUAGGUGGUACAUGGCGAUCAUCUUCAUCUUCUUCAUCUUGUGAAGUGUCAAUAUGUGCAGGUUCGAUAAGAAAAAUUAUCUUUUUCUAGCAAUUUUCUCUAUGCCAUUUUUCAUCACAAUGCUAACAUUUGCCUUGGCUUAUUCUGUCCAUGAGAUCCUCUUGUGUAAGCCACUUAACAUAUUUGUUGUUGAGUGUAUCUUCUUGAAAUUUACGAAUUUCUUGUUAUUUACUCUCUUGUUUAAGCAUGAGGUAUUUUUAAUGAGUCUUUCCUUUCAUAAUCGGGCAAAAGAGAUAGCUACCAAUAUAAUGUAGGGCUUAUACAUCUUCAUCUCACAAUGAAUGUAUGAGCAAAGUCCUUCAAUAAAAGUUCCAACAAGUUACCGUUUUGGCCAAUUACAAGCUCUAUUGACAAGCCGCUCAAAAUGACUUUGAUAUUCCAAAAUGACUUAAAUUUUUCCUACCGUAGCUCAGGCUACAUCCUAUCCCUCUCCAUUUUCUUUCGAACGGCAAUAUGAUAAUGGCAAAAGUCCUUAAAGGUCCAAGCACUUGGACAAACGCUAGUUUGAUAUCCUUCCUUCAAUUAUCCUCUUUUCGGUUGCUCUAACGCCGGUGGCAUGCCUAUGCAUCUUUUUACCACUUGCCACGAGGAUUUAUCAAACAAGCUCUCUGGCACGCCCAUCCCGAGAUGGCGAGAAAAGCUUUGUGCCAAACAGUUAGCUAAUGAUUGCUUAUUAGGGGUGACAAUCGGGUUGGGUCGGACAUAAACAGGUCCGAUCAUAUGCAAGUCGGGUCAAAAAAUCAUAAACCUGAACCCGACCUGUUUAUUAAACAGGUUAGAAAAUUACAACCUGAACCUGACCUGUUUAUUAAAUGGGUAACCUGACCCGUUUAACCCGUUUAACAAACAGCUAACCCGUUUAACCCAGCCCGACUCGUUUAACCUAACCCGACCCGUUUAACUAUUGGACUUAAAUAGUUAAAUUAGAUAGUUGGCGUAUAAGCCAUGGACAGUGCCAACAAUAAAUCCACCAAUAUUAACACGGUCAAGCAAUUUUUUAAAAAAAAUAAAUUUAACCAGAAAUUAAGUAAAAAGAAAACACGGAGAGGAACAAGGGAAGGAGAGAAAUUAACAGAUUACAAUUUUUUUAUUGGAAAAAAUAAAAGAAAAUGGAAACGGGAGCCCUCAAAAUCUCUGAUCUAGGAUUCUAGGCGCCAUCCCCAAAUUUUUUUCUCUCCGGAAAUCAUCGACGGCUUCGAUUCGGGUGGGGGAAAAAAUCUGGAAGCCCUAGCCUUCGCCAUGAAUCAAACCAUAAAAAGUAAAAACCAAACCAUUUCCCUCCACCGGCAUACCUGCUGCAGCGCUGCUGGACUCCACAGUAGUCGCCGCUUUGAAGAAGAGAAAGAGCGCCCUCACGUCCUCCGCCGCUUUGAGAUCCAAGAUCCCUAAGAUCAAGAAACAGAGACAGAAAGAGAUGGCGGAAGGAAAUCAGAGAUAGCAUGACUAUACUACUAGCGGAGAAGGGGAGAGAACGCACGGAUAGGGCAGGAGACGGAGGCCGUCGCCGUGGAGAAGACAAAGCAGUCACCGUCCGCCGGCAAGUCGCGAGACGACGAAAAGCCCCAAGAAGGCGGAAGCAACGUCCUAGGAACCCGUCGAGCCGCUGCGGUCGCCGUCGACGGGGAGGCGGAAGGAGUCGGCAAGGGGGAGGAGAGGGCGGAGGUCCGGAGGAGAGGAAGACUAGGAGAGGGGAGAGGGACUGAGGGAAUGGAGCUCGGGCGGCGCUCACAAAGACACAAACCCUAAGCGACGCCUUUUACGUCCAAUCAACCUCGCGGUGAAACUGUGAAACCGGACGGUGGACCUCGCGGUGAAAGCGGGCCGAAGCGGGGAGUUGGGCCGAGGCGGUGAAAGCGGGCCGAGGCAGGGAGUGAAAUUGAGUUUUCUCAUGACAGAAAGAUUAAUCAACAGAUACAAAUCCUUUUGACCUAACUACAGACCAUCUAACUGAUUUGCAACUCGGGCAACUUCAUUGUAUUUAAGUUGGUAGAUACAGAAAGUGAAAAUUACAGCAAACAUCAAAAUUGCCUAUAUGCAAAUGCAAUAAGGCUGAAGAAGGAAAAUUAUGAUUAAACCGUUUCUCAGAGGGGAUGUACCAUUGCUAUACAUUCUUAAAAUAGAAAAGAAACAUAGAUGAAGAUUAAAUUUUGAAGGCAUAACUAAGUGUUUUAAAAAUAUAUAAAGUAAUGCAUCAUUUUCAUAAUUAUUGUUUUAUGAGUUCACUUCACUUUGGAAACCAACUAGAGCACUAUACACCGCCAAGAUUUCUUUCCCAAUACUCGAAGUCGUCCCCAAAUGCUGGAGAGGCUUACAUUGUAUAAGCAAUAGGGGUGGUAAAAUAUGAUCCAACCCGCCAUAAACAGAUUUGGGUUUGGCUUAAACAGGUUCGGGUCGUAAACAGGUUGAUCCGUUUAACCUGUUUAUUAAUUGGGUCGGAUACAGAUUUUAAAUUUCUGACCCGUUUAAUCUGUAUAACCUGUUUAAUUGUUGGGCUAAUAUAUAAGGGCCAGCCAUACUCCCUGCCUCGGCCCGCUUUCACCGCCUCGGCCCAACUCCCCGCUUCGGCCCGCUUUCACCGCGAGGUCCACCGUCCGGUUUCACAGUUUCACCGCGAGGUUGAUUGGACGUAAAAGGCGUCGCUUAGGGUUUGUGUCUUUGUGAGCGCCGCCCGAGCUCCAUUCCCUCAGUCCCUCUCCCCUCUCCUAGUCUUCCUCUCCUCCGGACCUCCGCCCUCUCCUCCCCCUUGCCGACUCCUUCCGCCUCCCCGUCGACGGCGACCGCAGCGGCUCGACGGGUUCCUAGGACGUUGCUUCCGCCUUCUUGGGGCUUUUCGUCGUCUCGCGACUUGCCGGCGGACGGUGACUGCUUUGUCUUCUCCACGGCGACGGCCUCCGUCUCCUGCCCUAUCCGUGCGUUCUCUCCCCUUCUCCGCUAGUAGUAUAGUCAUGCUAUCUCUGAUUUCCUUCCGCCAUCUCUUUCUGUCUCUGUUUCUUGAUCUUAGGGAUCUUGGAUCUCAAAGCGGCGGAGGACGUGAGGGCGCUCUUUCUCUUCUUCAAAGCGGCGACUACUGUGGAGUCCAGCAGCGCUGCAGCAGGUAUGCCGGUGGAGGGAAAUGGUUUGGUUUUUACUUUUUAUGGUUUGAUUCAUGGCGAAGGCUAGGGCUUCCAGAUUUUUUCCCCCACCCGAAUCGAAGCCGUCGAUGAUUUCCGGAGAGAAAAAAAUUUGGGGAUGGCGCCUAGAAUCCUAGAUCAGAGAUUUUGAGGGCUCCCGUUUCCAUUUUCUUUUAUUUUUUCCAAUAAAAAAAUUGUAAUCUGUUAAUUUCUCUCCUCCCCUUGUUCCUCUCCGUGUUUUCUUUUUACUUAAUUUCUGGUUAAAUUUAUUUUUUUAAAAAAAUUGCUUGACCGUGUUAAUAUUGGUGGAUUUAUUGUUGGCACUGUCCAUGGCUUAUAUGCUAACUAUCUAAUUUAACUAUUUAAGUCCAAUAGUUAAACGAGUCGGGUUGGGUUAAAUGGGUUAGCUGUUUGUUAAACGGGUUAAACGGGUCGGGUUACCCAUUUAAUAAACAUGUCAGGUUCAGGUUGUAAUUUUCUAACCUGUUUAAUAAACAGGUCGGGUUCAGGUUUAUGAUUUUUUGACCCGACUUGCAUCUGAUCCGACCUGUUUAUGUCCGACCCAACCCGAUUGCCACCCCUAAUAAGCAAUCAUUAGCUAAUUGUUUGGCACAAAGCUUUUCUCGCCAUCUCGGGAUGGGCGUGCCAGAGAGCUUGUUUGAUAAAUCCUCGUGGCAAGUGGUAAAAAGAUGCAUAGGCAUGCCACCGGCGUUAGAGCAACCGAAAAGAGGAUAAUUGAAGGAAGGAUAUCAAACUAGCGUUUGUCCAAGUGCUUGGACCUUCAAGGACUUUUGCCAUUGUCAUAUUGCCGUUCGAAAGAAAAUGGAGAGGGAUAGGAUGUAGCCUGAGCUACGGUAGGAAAAAUAUAAGUCAUUUUGGAAUAUCAAAGUCAUUUUGAGCGGCUUGUCAAUAGAGCUUGUAAUUGGCCAAAACGGUAACUUGUUGGAACUUUUAUUGAAGGACUUUGCUCAUACAUUCAUUGUGAGAUGAAGAUGUAUAAGCCCUACAUUAUAUUGGUAGCUAUCUCUUUUGCCCGAUUAUGAAAGGAAAGACUCAUUAAAAAUACCUCAUGCUUAAACAAGAGAGUAAAUAACAAGAAAUUCGUAAAUUUCAAGAAGAUACACUCAACAACAAAUAUGUUAAGUGGCUUACACAAGAGGAUCUCAUGGACAGAAUAAGCCAAGGCAAAUGUUAGCAUUGUGAUGAAAAAUGGCAUAGAGAAAAUUGCUAGAAAAAGAUAAUUUUUCUUAUCGAACCUGCACAUAUUGACACUUCACAAGAUGAAGAAGAUGAAGAUGAUCGCCAUGUACCACCUAGACAAAUAUAAUCUUGAGAACAAGAUCAUCUAGAAGUGAAAGGGAAUGAUAUGCUUCUUAUCUUAGGAUCCUAAUUUUAAUUUGAUUUAGCACAAGAAUUAGGAGGAGUCCAAGUUUAAUAAAGAUUGGCUACAUCAUAUUCCUAUUUUGCUUUUUCUUAUUCUUGUAGGACAAUUAACUCUGAAUCUAUAUAUACGUAGUGCUCUAGACAAGCAAUGAAUUUAAUAAAAAUAGUGUAAAGGCUAUUCGAGGUCCAAAACCUCUUGAAUUGAUCGAAUACUCUUUCUUCUACCUAUAUCUCUAUUUUUCUAUUUUCUUUUGCUCGAAAUUCUAUCAAUAGUAAGUGGGUUCCUAUCAAACAGAAUACAUACACAUAUAUAUACGACUUUUCAAAAACUAGUCUCGCAUUAUAAAAAUUUCAUCAUGACAUGAAGAUGAAAUAUCUUUUUUUCGUAUCCUAACAUCGAACUAGAAAGAGGAGACUAACUGAACAAAUUUAGUUCAAUGUCGAGAAGUUAUGUAAUUUAAAAACUAUCCUUACUGCAAGGAGAGGGGAAAACCUAUGAUUUAAACCCACCCCCCACCCCAACCUUCGGGGCGUCUCAUGGCCUGCUUUCACCUGUUCUCCGAACCUAAAGCGGUGAUUUUUCACGAAGCUUGUCGAAAGAAAUCAAACAAAUGGAUUAUCGCAUUUCAAUAGUUUAAUGGGUUAUCAUCUUCGAAUCAAAAUUUACAACAAUUCAAAAAACUAGAAUAGUAUAUUAGAGAGACAGAGAGAGAGAGACCUGCCGGUCGCCGGUCCGAGGUUACAGAGGUUGAGCUUUGAGGGUGAGUCGAGAGAGAUCUGCAGCCGCCCAACAGGAACCCUAGUCCUUAAAUCCAAGGAGGCCCUUGGCAAAGCAAAUGGGCCGAGUUAAUUUUGUCUAGGGCUAAUCCCGGCUCGAUUCCGUUUAACGUGAGCUAGGAAAGGGGAUUGUGGGACAAGAUCCCGCCCCCCAGCCCCACUGGCGUCUCUAGGUUACUAGGCUCGUCUUGGAAGUUUAUUUGGAUAAUUGGGCUGAAAAUCUUAUGAAAUUUAUGGACUAAGGCCUUGUUUGGAGGAGCUUUUGAAGGGCCAAAAAGCACUUUCUAAUUGUGAAACAAUUGAAGAUGAAUGGUAAGAAAAGGAUAUGCAUAGAUGUACCUACUCGUUGGAAUUCUACAUAUCUCAUGUUAAACGAUGUUAUACAAUUCAAGGAUGUAUUUAUGCGACUUGUGGCCCGGGAUUCUAAUAAACAUUUGAAAAGCUGGGUGUUCAACUGUUGUAAAUGGCAUCUCUUGUAAAAUUACCAUCCUUUACUUCAUCUAUUUUCUCAAAAGGCCAUAAAAACAGAUUUUAAUGCAUCUAAAAGCAGAAAUUAAAAUUUUUUUCCCUAAAACGUGAUUCAAAAGAUGCAUACAAACAUAGAAAAUAAAAAUACUUUUUCUUGCACAGAAGAGAGUCUAAUCCACGGCUAGGGUUCUUUGUUAGGGCAGAUUUUUAGGUUUAUAAAGGGACAAAGUAUGUAAUUAUUAUAUUUUAUUAUGGGUAUUUUGGUGAAAAAAAGCUUUCCGACAAAGCUCAAAAUAGCUUUUUCGAAAAGCUCCAAAUUGGAGCUUUUUUUAAAAAGCUGUUUUUAGCUUUCUGAAAAAGCUAAAACAGCUUUUCCAAAAUUUUUACCAAAUAUCUUUUUUUAAUCCAAAAGUGCUUUAGGAGGGCCAGAAAGUGCUUUUUGGCCCUUCAAAAGCUCCUCCAAACAAGGCCUUAGUCCAUAAAUUUCAUAAGAUUUUCAGCCCAAUUAUCCAAAUAAACUUCCAAGACGAGCCUAGUAACCUAGAGACGCCAGUGGGGCUGGGGGGCGGGAUCUUGUCCCACAAUCCCCUUUCCUAGCUCACGUUAAACGGAAUCGAGCCGGGAUUAGCCCUAGACAAAAUUAACUCGGCCCAUUUGCUUUGCCAAGGGCCUCCUUGGAUUUAAGGACUAGGGUUCCUGUUGGGCGGCUGCAGAUCUCUCUCGACUCACCCUCAAAGCUCAACCUCUGUAACCUCGGACCGGCGACCGGCAGGUCUCUCUCUCUCUGUCUCUCUAAUAUACUAUUCUAGUUUUUUGAAUUGUUGUAAAUUUUGAUUCGAAGAUGAUAACCCAUUAAACUAUUGAAAUGCGAUAAUCCAUUUGUUUGAUUUCUUUCGACAAGCUUCGUGAAAAAUCACCGCUUUAGGUUCGGAGAACAGGUGAAAGCAGGCCAUGAGACGCCCCGAAGGUUGGGGUGGGGGGUGGGUUUAAAUCAUAGGUUUUCCCCUCUCCUUGCAGUAAGGAUAGUUUUUAAAUUACAUAACUUCUCGACAUUGAACUAAAUUUGUUCAGUUAGUCUCCUCUUUCUAGUUCGAUGUUAGGAUACGAAAAAAAGAUAUUUCAUCUUCAUGUCAUGAUGAAAUUUUUAUAAUGCGAGACUAGUUUUUGAAAAGUCGUAUAUAUAUGUGUAUGUAUUCUGUUUGAUAGGAACCCACUUACUAUUGAUAGAAUUUCGAGCAAAAGAAAAUAGAAAAAUAGAGAUAUAGGUAGAAGAAAGAGUAUUCGAUCAAUUCAAGAGGUUUUGGACCUCGAAUAGCCUUUACACUAUUUUUAUUAAAUUCAUUGCUUGUCUAGAGCACUACGUAUAUAUAGAUUCAGAGUUAAUUGUCCUACAAGAAUAAGAAAAAGCAAAAUAGGAAUAUGAUGUAGCCAAUCUUUAUUAAACUUGGACUCCUCCUAAUUCUUGUGCUAAAUCAAAUUAAAAUUAGGAUCCUAAGAUAAGAAGCAUAUCAUUCCCUUUCACUUCUAGAUGAUCUUGUUCUCAAGAUUAUAUUUGUCUAGGUGGUACAUGGCGAUCAUCUUCAUCUUCUUCAUCUUGUGAAGUGUCAAUAUGUGCAGGUUCGAUAAGAAAAAUUAUCUUUUUCUAGCAAUUUUCUCUAUGCCAUUUUUCAUCACAAUGCUAACAUUUGCCUUGGCUUAUUCUGUCCAUGAGAUCCUCUUGUGUAAGCCACUUAACAUAUUUGUUGUUGAGUGUAUCUUCUUGAAAUUUACGAAUUUCUUGUUAUUUACUCUCUUGUUUAAGCAUGAGGUAUUUUUAAUGAGUCUUUCCUUUCAUAAUCGGGCAAAAGAGAUAGCUACCAAUAUAAUGUAGGGCUUAUACAUCUUCAUCUCACAAUGAAUGUAUGAGCAAAGUCCUUCAAUAAAAGUUCCAACAAGUUACCGUUUUGGCCAAUUACAAGCUCUAUUGACAAGCCGCUCAAAAUGACUUUGAUAUUCCAAAAUGACUUAAAUUUUUCCUACCGUAGCUCAGGCUACAUCCUAUCCCUCUCCAUUUUCUUUCGAACGGCAAUAUGAUAAUGGCAAAAGUCCUUAAAGGUCCAAGCACUUGGACAAACGCUAGUUUGAUAUCCUUCCUUCAAUUAUCCUCUUUUCGGUUGCUCUAACGCCGGUGGCAUGCCUAUGCAUCUUUUUACCACUUGCCACGAGGAUUUAUCAAACAAGCUCUCUGGCACGCCCAUCCCGAGAUGGCGAGAAAAGCUUUGUGCCAAACAGUUAGCUAAUGAUUGCUUAUUAGGGGUGACAAUCGGGUUGGGUCGGACAUAAACAGGUCCGAUCAUAUGCAAGUCGGGUCAAAAAAUCAUAAACCUGAACCCGACCUGUUUAUUAAACAGGUUAGAAAAUUACAACCUGAACCUGACCUGUUUAUUAAAUGGGUAACCUGACCCGUUUAACCCGUUUAACAAACAGCUAACCCGUUUAACCCAGCCCGACUCGUUUAACCUAACCCGACCCGUUUAACUAUUGGACUUAAAUAGUUAAAUUAGAUAGUUGGCGUAUAAGCCAUGGACAGUGCCAACAAUAAAUCCACCAAUAUUAACACGGUCAAGCAAUUUUUUAAAAAAAAUAAAUUUAACCAGAAAUUAAGUAAAAAGAAAACACGGAGAGGAACAAGGGAAGGAGAGAAAUUAACAGAUUACAAUUUUUUUAUUGGAAAAAAUAAAAGAAAAUGGAAACGGGAGCCCUCAAAAUCUCUGAUCUAGGAUUCUAGGCGCCAUCCCCAAAUUUUUUUCUCUCCGGAAAUCAUCGACGGCUUCGAUUCGGGUGGGGGAAAAAAUCUGGAAGCCCUAGCCUUCGCCAUGAAUCAAACCAUAAAAAGUAAAAACCAAACCAUUUCCCUCCACCGGCAUACCUGCUGCAGCGCUGCUGGACUCCACAGUAGUCGCCGCUUUGAAGAAGAGAAAGAGCGCCCUCACGUCCUCCGCCGCUUUGAGAUCCAAGAUCCCUAAGAUCAAGAAACAGAGACAGAAAGAGAUGGCGGAAGGAAAUCAGAGAUAGCAUGACUAUACUACUAGCGGAGAAGGGGAGAGAACGCACGGAUAGGGCAGGAGACGGAGGCCGUCGCCGUGGAGAAGACAAAGCAGUCACCGUCCGCCGGCAAGUCGCGAGACGACGAAAAGCCCCAAGAAGGCGGAAGCAACGUCCUAGGAACCCGUCGAGCCGCUGCGGUCGCCGUCGACGGGGAGGCGGAAGGAGUCGGCAAGGGGGAGGAGAGGGCGGAGGUCCGGAGGAGAGGAAGACUAGGAGAGGGGAGAGGGACUGAGGGAAUGGAGCUCGGGCGGCGCUCACAAAGACACAAACCCUAAGCGACGCCUUUU
rnacentral:lncRNA from 1 species